GACUGCUUCUGAUUGGACAGCAGCCUCCAGGCCAGCCCUCCAUCUUUGAGCUGGGCUCAAGCCAGUCUUGUCUUGAAUUUGCCUGAGGAGUGACACUGCCUAACUUUAAAGGAGUGGUGAGAAUGACCAACUUUCAAGAAAUCAUCACUGGAUACAGGACAAACUUCCAGAAGCAACGAUUAAUGGCAAUGAAGGCCACACAAUUUGUGAAGGAUUAUAUCUACUGGGCUUUUUUCCAAUACCGGCUGCUCACCUGCUGCUUUGACCUGGAGCCUUGGGAACGAGUAUUGGUGCAUUCUGGCGUUGUCAUUAUUUUUACUAUGUCAGUGUUCACGGCUUAUGUAUUCAUUCCAAUCCAUUUGCGUCUGGUCUUUUGGUACUUUCUACAGCUAUUGGUCAAGUAGAGGACAGUUAUCUGUUUUUUGACAAGAUUGAGCCUGAGUUUCUUGAUGCACUUUUGUUAUGUUUGUGUAAAUAGGAUAAUUAAAAACAUGUGCAUGUUUCUUUCUCCA